GGGAGAGAAGCCCAAGGCCUCCUGCCCUACAUAUUGAUCUGUAUCAUCCUCCGGGAAGCAUAGGACGUCCUGACCUGAUCCGACCUGAUUCUUAUCCAAAGUUAUAGGACCACAUGAUAACCAGACCCCACCUGCACUGAUAGCAUUUUAACGAUUUUUUUUCAUGAUCUUUCCUUUGUAUUGUAGAGAAAUAACUCACAUACCUAUGCCUUAUAAAUUUAGCCUUAACCCUCAACCCAUUGCAGCUCUUACUGACAUGGGUCCUGUCCCCAUGCUAUUCUCUGAAUAAAAGAGCACUACUACCAGACCUUGAGAGUCCGAGAAAUCUUUCUUUCGACUCCUCGGCCUGCCGAGUCUGUCGUUUCUUCUGGUGGCCCAUACAGGGAUCUUGCUUCACCGGCUUGUGAGCUGAAGUUCUGGACCAUGGGAGCUUCUAAUUCCAUUCCUAAGGACUCACCUUUGGGCUGCCUUUUAAAUAAUUGGGCAAAAUUUGAUCUACAAGAUCUAAAGAAAAAGAGACAUCUUUUACUGUAGUACUGUUUGGCCUCAAUAUACUCUGAAUGAGGAAAAAUGGCCCAUGAAUGGCAUCCUAAAUUUUAAUACUAUUUUUCAACUAGACUUAUUUUGCCACCACCUGGGAAAAUGGUCUGAAAUCCCUUACAGUCAAGCAUUUAUGGCCCUAUAUCAAGAUCCUGAACUCAGAGCAGUUUGUCGCAUGUGUCUAGCUUCCCCCACUAAAGUAGAAAAACCCAUAUCUGAUAUAUUAGAUGAUGACUGCCUUGUUAGACCUCUCCCUAAGGCCCCUGCAGCUCCUGCCGAAUUAACCUCUCCCAAGGACUCAAAGACCAGAAUACCCCCUCCCUCCAAGGAGGAACCUAAAAUUGAGUCCUCAAUCCCUGUAAGUCCUGCAGGUCAUACGAGGAGUGGGACCUCUGAUAAUCCUGGACAUCUCCUUCUCCGCGAGGUAGCAAAUGGGGACCUUUUGAGUCCAUGUGCCAUUUUUGAUGUCUGAAGUGGCUCAACUAAAGGCACAACUGGGUAGAUAUUCAGAAAGUCCUUCCCAAUUUAUUGACAGCUUUCAACAGCUUGUCAUGAUGUUUGAUUUGACCUAGCAGGAUAUAUAUAUUAUUCUUACUCGUUGCUGCACUACAGAUGAAGAAAAUCGUAUUUGGGCGGGAGCACGUGAAUUUGCAGAUGAUUUACGUACUAGAGACAGACAUAAAUAUCCAGUAGGAGGCACUAUGGUGCCAGAUACAGACCCCAAAUGGGAUUAUAGGGAUGAAAAAGAGGACAACGGAAUCACAUGGCUACUUGUUUAAUAAAGGAAAUGAAGAAGGGAUUUACAAAGCCAGUCAAUUUUGACAGACUCUGGGAAAUAACUCAGGGAACAGAUGAAAACUCUGCCCUUUUUCCAGAGAGAUUAGCUGAAACUACUCAAAAAUACACCAAUCUAGACUCUACUUCUCCGGAAGGGAUUACUAUUCUAAACAUGCACUUCAUUAGUCAAUCUGCCCCAGACAUACGCCGAAAAUUGACAAAAUUGACAAAAAGUCCUACCAGACUUUUGGAGGUUGCUACUCAGGUUUUUAAUGAUCGGGACAGGAUAAGGACAGAAGGGUAAAAUUACACGGUAAGGUACAGGCUCACAUUUUAGCAGCCGCCAUUGCGGAUAUGCCACCGAAACAGGCUAGCGAGGGUCUCAAGUCUCAAACUACAAAUGCCAGAGACCCAGGUAAGUUCCCUUGUUACCACUGCCGUCUAUUUGGACACUGGAGCAAACAGUGGCCAAGAAAGGAUCUUCCUCCUGGGCCUUGUCCUCUCUGCAAGCGAGAGGGACAUUGGAAGCGUGAUUGUCCUUGCCUCCAGAGCAAAGAGGGGCCAAGAACACACUUCCCUUCCUGGAGAUGCAAUCCUGAAGGCUCUGCCUGAAGGGGCCCAGAGGCCAGUCUGGCUCCCAUCAUCAUCGAACAGACUGAGCCCCUGGUUACUCUGGAUGUGGAAG
rnacentral:lncRNA from 1 species